AUCGCUUCUCGGCCUUUUGGCUAAGAUCAAAGUGUAGUAUCUGUUCUUAUCAGCUAAUAUCUGAUACGUCCUCCAUUGGGGGACAUCGAUAUUAAACUGAUUUUUGAAAGGGGGUGAGGUGCCCGGGGCUUGCUCCGCCUCACCACGGGUUGACCGGUAUUGCAGUACUUCCGGGAAUGGCCCACCACUA
rnacentral:snRNA from 1 species